CUCAUCCCUCCUCGGAAUUCUCCCCAGCUGUGGCCAUUUGGCCUACUGUCAUUUAUGAUUUAGUAGAAACCAAACAAGAGAUCCUCCCAGAUUCAGGACUAGAUGUUUUCAAAAGCCAUUUUGACACAUUGAGCAUCAUAGAGUAUAUUUUAGUCAUUUAGCAGGUACAUUUUAGUCAUUCAGCAGAUGCUCUUAUCCAGAGCAGUUACGGUUGUGCCUUGAUCAAGGGCACAUCGACAGAUUUUUCACCAGCGACUCAAACCAGUGACCAGAGUCGAGUGGCCCUAUACGCUCACUACGCAAGUUGCGUAGGGUUCCGCAAAUUACGCAAGGUCCCCGCCUCCUCCUCGUGCCAAAGCGGGUGUCACUGUUUACAACUUCGAUGAGAGGAUGAAGCGGAACUAUCCUUCUGGUCACGAAAAGAGAGAGAAAAAAACACCAUGAGAGUGAAUUGCGGGAACAGAAAUCAGACAGUCCAGAUAGACUGGUGCCCAUGCUGAUGCUGAAAAUGCCCAGGCUGUAGAGGGAACCGAAGUUAAUCACACAGCUGUUAUUUGACUAUUUUGAGACAUAUAGCUGCAGCCAUAGCCUAUAGGCUUAUGUUUACCCGUGUGGCUCAGUUGGUAGAGCAUGGUGUUUGCAACGCCAGGGUUGUGGGUUCGAUUCCCACGGGGGACCAGUACGGAGAAAAAAAUGUAUGAAAUGUAUACAUUCACUACUGUAAGUCGCUCUGGAUAAGAGCGUCUGCUAAAAUGAUUAAAAUGUAAAAGUGUUUACAUUGUAUAGACAAAGCUAAUUGUAUAAUAUUGUGAGGACUGGACUAAUUACCAGGCAGCAGAGCCAAAGCUCG
rnacentral:lncRNA from 1 species